GAUGAACGCUGGCGGCGUGCCUAAUACAUGCAAGUCGAGCGAACGGACGAGAAGCUUGCUUCUCUGAUGUUAGCGGCGGACGGGUGAGUAACACGUGGAUAACCUACCUAUAAGGCUGGGAUAACUUCGGGAAACCGGAGCUAAUACCGGAUAAUAUUUUGAACCGCAUGGUUCAAAAGUGAAAGACGGUCUUGCUGUCACUUAUAGAUGGAUCCUCGCUGCAUUAGCUAGUUGGUAAGGUAACGGCUUACCAAGGCAACGAUGCAUAGCCGACCUGAGAGGGUGAUCGGCCACACUGGAACUGAGACACGGUCCAGACUCCUACGGGAGGCAGCAGUAGGGAAUCUUCCGCAAUGGGCGAAAGCCUGACGGAGCAACGCCGCGUGAGUGAUGAAGGUCUUCGGAUCGUAAAACUCUGUUAUUAGGGAAGAACAUAUGUGUAAGUAACUGUGCACAUCUUGACGGUACCUAAUCAGAAAGCCACGGCUAACUACGUGCCAGCAGCCGCGGUAAUACGUAGGUGGCAAGCGUUAUCCGGAAUUAUUGGGCGUAAAGCGCGCGUAGGCGGUUUUUUAAGUCUGAUGUGAAAGCCCACGGCUCAACCGUGGAGGGUCAUUGGAAACUGGAAAACUUGAGUGCAGAAGAGGAAAGUGGAAUUCCAUGUGUAGCAGUGAAAUGCGCAGAGAUAUGGAGGAACACCAGUGGCGAAGGCGACUUUCUGGUCUGUAACUGACGCUGAUGUGCGAAAGCGUGGGGAUCAAACAGGAUUAGAUACCCUGGUAGUCCACGCCGUAAACGAUGAGUGCUAAGUGUUAGGGGGUUUCCGCCCCUUAGUGCUGCAGCUAACGCAUUAAGCACUCCGCCUGGGGAGUACGACCGCAAGGUUGAAACUCAAAGGAAUUGACGGGGACCCGCACAAGCGGUGGAGUAUGUGGUUUAAUUCGAAGCAACGCGAAGAACCUUACCAAAUCUUGACAUCCUUUGACAACUCUAGAGAUAGAGCCUUCCCCUUCGGGGGACAAAGUGACAGGUGGUGCAUGGUUGUCGUCAGCUCGUGUCGUGAGAUGUUGGGUUAAGUCCCGCAACGAGCGCAACCCUUAAGCUUAGUUGCCAUCAUUAAGUUGGGCACUCUAAGUUGACUGCCGGUGACAAACCGGAGGAAGGUGGGGAUGACGUCAAAUCAUCAUGCCCCUUAUGAUUUGGGCUACACACGUGCUACAAUGGACAAUACAAAGGGCAGCGAAACCGCGAGGUCAAGCAAAUCCCAUAAAGUUGUUCUCAGUUCGGAUUGUAGUCUGCAACUCGACUACAUGAAGCUGGAAUCGCUAGUAAUCGUAGAUCAGCAUGCUACGGUGAAUACGUUCCCGGGUCU
rnacentral:rRNA from 1 species